GCGGAGCUAAUCCCUUAAAGCCAUCCUCAGUUCGGAUUGUAGGCUGAAACUCGCCUACAUGAAGCUGGAGUUACUAGUAAUCGCAGAUCAGAAUGCUGCGGUGAAUGCGUUCCCGGGUCUUGUACACACCGCCCGCCACACCACGGAAGUUGGGGGCGCCCGAAGCCACUUAGCUAACCCUUUGGGAAGCGAGUGUCGAAGGUGAAAUCAAUAACUGGGGUGAAGUCGUAACAAGGUAUC
rnacentral:rRNA from 1 species